rnacentral:rRNA from 1 species
UGGGGAAUAUUGCGCAAUGGGGGGAACCCUGACGCAGCCAUGCCGCGUGAAUGAAGAAGGCCUUCGGGUUGUAAAGUUCUUUCGGUAUUGAGGAAGGUUGAUGUGUUAAUAGCACAUCAAAUUGACGUUAAAUACAGAAGAAGCACCGGCUAACUCCGUGCCAGCAGCCGCGGUAAUACGGAGGGUGCGAGCGUUAAUCGGAAUAACUGGGCGUAAAGGGCACGCAGGCGGUUAUUUAAGUGAGGUGUGAAAGCCCUGGGCUUAACCUAGGAAUUGCAUUUCAGACUGGGUAACUAGAGUACUUUAGGGAGGGGCAGAAUUCCACGUGUAGCGGUGAAAUGCGUAGAGAUGUGGAGGAAUACCGAAGGCGAAGGCAGCCCCUUGGGAAUGUACUGACGCUCAUGUGCGAAAGCGUGGGGAGCAAACAGGAUUAGAUACCCUGGUAGUCCACGCUGUAAACGCUGUCGAUUUGGGGAUUGGGCUUAGAGCUUGGUGCCCGUAGCUAACGUGAUAAAUCGACCGCCUGGGGAGUACGGCCGCAAGGUUA